UUUUAGCCCUGAUUGCAAUGGAAAUCCUUUUGAUUUUUUUCUUUAAAAAAUUAAAAGAUUGAAAUGGAAAGCAGGAUUAGCU
rnacentral:sRNA from 1 species